AUUGAACGCUGGCGGCAGGCUUAACACAUGCAAGUCGAGCGGAGCGAGGGUGCUUGCACCUUAGCUUAGCGGCGGACGGGUGAGUAAUGCUUAGGAAUCUGCCUAUUAGUGGGGGACAACAUUCCGAAAGGAAUGCUAAUACCGCAUACGCCCUACGGGGGAAAGCAGGGGAUCUUCGGACCUUGCGCUAAUAGAUGAGCCUAAGUCGGAUUAGCUAGUUGGUGGGGUAAAGGCCUACCAAGGCGACGAUCUGUAGCGGGUCUGAGAGGAUGAUCCGGCACACUGGGACUGAGACACGGCCCAGACUCCUACGGGAGGCAGCAGUGGGGAAUAUUGGACAAUGGGCGGAAGCCUGAUCCAGCCAUGCCGCGUGUGUGAAGAAGGCCUUUUGGUUGUAAAGCACUUUGAGCGAGGAGGAGGCUACUUAGAUUAAUACUCUAGGAUAGUGGACGUUACUCGCAGAAUAAGCACCGGCUAACUCUGUGCCAGCCGCCGCAGUAA
rnacentral:rRNA from 1 species